AGUGAACGCUGGCGGUAGGCCUAACACAUGCAAGUCGAACGGCAGCACAGUAAGAGCUUGCUCUUACGGGUGGCGAGUGGCGGACGGGUGAGGAAUACAUCGGAAUCUACUUUUUCGUGGGGGAUAACGUAGGGAAACUUACGCUAAUACCGCAUACGACCUACGGGUGAAAGCAGGGGAUCUUCGGACCUUGCGCGAUUGAAUGAGCCGAUGUCGGAUUAGCUAGUUGGCGGGGUAAAGGCCCACCAAGGCGACGAUCCGUAGCUGGUCUGAGAGGAUGGUCAGCCACACUGGAACUGAGACACGGUCCAGACGCCUACGGGAGGCAGCAGUGGGGAAUGUUGGACAAUGGGCGCAAGCCUGAUCCAGCCAUACCGCGUGGGUGGAGAAGGCCUUCGGGUUGUAAAGCCCUUUUGUGGGGAAAGAAAAGCAGCAGGUUAAUACCCCGCUGUUCUGACGGUACCCAAAGAAUAAGCACCGGCUAACUUCGUG
rnacentral:rRNA from 1 species